rfam:Stegodyphus mimosarum contig79083, whole genome shotgun sequence.
GCCUUCGUGGUGUAGUAGUCAGCACGCUUGACGCGUAUUCGAGAGGUCUGUGGUUCGAGUCCCGGCAAGGGCA